rnacentral:rRNA from 1 species
ACGGGGGGAGCAAGCGUUGUUCGGAUUUACUGGGCGUAAAGGGCGCGUAGGCGGCCACCGCAAGUCGACUGUGAAAUCUCCGGGCUUAACCCGGAAAGGUCAGCCGAUACUGCGGGGCUAGAGUGCAGAAGGGGCAACUGGAAUUCUCGGUGGAGCGGUGAAAUGCGUAGAUAUCGGAAGGAACGCCGGUGGCGAAAGCGGCGGGCUGGACCCCUUCUGACGCUGAGGCGCGAAAGCCAGGGGAGCAAACGGGA